CGCGCCACGCAGCACAAGUGCCUACACGCAGACUUCUUUUUUUAUCCUCUACUCCACGGUCCACACCCAUCGUAUCAUAUACGCAUCUUAUCCUCUUGCCCUCAUCCCCAUCUCCGCAACCUCUCUGUCUCUUUCUGCGUCCUGGCUUCGGCGAGCUCCGUGGCUUCUCCGGCGAGGCUGCCACCAGCGGACCCCCAUCUGCUCGUCUUUUCGGCCCUCUCCCAUGAGAUUUUCUCCUUUUUAUCUUGUAUAGCUCAUCAGCCUUUCCCCUUCCUGCUGCUUGACGCCCCCUGUUGCCACAGAGACCAGAGAUGACCCACGGGACGGCGGGGAUAGAGGGAGGAAGUACACUAGGAGCUGCAACUGGUGGAUGGAAAAGCUACAUCCGGCUACGCGGGAGCUGCAAGCGGCCACACCGGGAGUUGCAAACGGCAGGGCGACGGGGUGGGUGAACCACGACCGGCAAUGCUACCAUCGUGGUGACCGCCGUUUUUCUUUGCUGGAACCAGCACUUUUUUUUGCUACCACCGGCGUUUUGAUUUGCUGGAACCAGCGCCCAAAUGUGGAUUGUAGCUGCAUGAUGGGGAGAUGCAUUGUCGGCCUUUUGCUGGAACCGGCAAUGAGGAUAGCUGCGACCGGCGCCUUUUUUGCUUCAACAGCGAUGGGGACCAACAGAUGGGAGUUGCAUCGGGUUUUUUUCGGCAGCAAGAUGCAACCGGCAAAGACGACGAGCCAUGGGGGGUGAGAAGGUGGCUACAACCGGCCAAAAAUUUGUUGCAAACCCGCAACACAGAUGCUUCCAGCCAUGGCCGCGGCAAGCUACGGUGAUCAGUCGGGGAUGCGAGGGCGGCCGGGGACGGCAGAGGCGAGGAGGUGGACCGAGAAGGAUGGCCGAAGACGCCGGAGGCGGGCAGACACGCUGCGCAUGGAGCCUGUUUUUGUUUUUUUUUAGAUGGCGAAAGUGAUAUUUGGGGAAAGAAAGGAACAGAUCGCACGGUGAAGGGACUCCCAAUCGGAUGGUCGCGCAGUGACCGGCCCCUAUCACUGCCCUUUUCAUUACUUGCAUAGCCGAAAUACAUUAGUUGUAGCCCA